AUUGAACGCUGGCGGCAGGCUUAACACAUGCAAGUCGAGCGGAGAGAGGUAGCUUGCUACUGAUCUUAGCGGCGGACGGGUGAGUAAUGCUUAGGAAUCUGCCUAUUAGUGGGGGACAACAUUUCGAAAGGAAUGCUAAUACCGCAUACGUCCUACGGGAGAAAGCAGGGGAUCUUCGGACCUUGCGCUAAUAGAUGAGCCUAAGUCGGAUUAGCUAGUUGGUGGGGUAAAGGCCUACCAAGGCGACGAUCUGUAGCGGGUCUGAGAGGAUGAUCCGCCACACUGGGACUGAGACACGGCCCAGACUCCUGCGGGAGGCAGCAGUGGGGAAUGUUGGACAAUGGGCGCAAGCCUGAUCCAGCCAUGCCGCGUGUGUGAAGAAGGCCUUAUGGUUGUAAAGCACUUUAAGCGAGGAGGAGGCUACUUUAGUUAAUACCUAGAGAUAGUGGACGUUACUCGCAGAAUAAGCACCGGCUAACUCUGUGCCAGCCGCCGCGGUAACAC
rnacentral:rRNA from 1 species